UACGUAGGGUGCAAGCGUUGUCCGGAAUUAUUGGGCGUAAAGAGCUCGUAGGCGGUUUGUCGCGUCUGCUGUGGAAACUCGGGGCUUAACCCCGGGCCUGCAGUGGGUACGGGCAGACUAGAGUUCGGUAGGGGAGACUGGAAUUCCUGGUGUAGCGGUGAAAUGCGCAGAUAUCAGGAGGAACACCGGUGGCGAAGGCGGGUCUCUGGGCCGAUACUGACGCUGAGGAGCGAAAGCGUGGGGAGCGAACAGG
rnacentral:rRNA from 1 species